ACAGCUCCUGUGUAGGAACAGCACGGUUCCGUGAGGUCACAGAGGCUCUAACUAUGGAGACCAGGGGAUUACUUGCUUGGAGGGAAAACCUUCCUUCUGAAGCAGAAAGAACUGGCAAUGUCACCAAAGUCAUGGAAAAGGAGCCUGACAGCUGACCAUCUCCUCAAGGAGGAAGCUGCAAGGCCUUGCCUUGACCAUUGGGUCAGCACCCUGAACCCAAGGGACUGACACUGUUGGAGUCUCAAAGCAGAUACUGUGAUUUCAUAUCAACAAUGAAACAGCCUCUUGUCUCCUCCAAACUGAGGAGACCCCCGUUUUCAUCAGCCAACUCCACUGACCACCAGUUCCUGUCUAUGACUAUUCAGGGAACCCCACAAAGCAGGACUCCCAUCAACUCCCAAAGACAAAGCCAUUGGCCAGGACCCCUGGCUUGCACCUGUGUCUCCCGUGGAGUUUCACACUGUGUUCAGCACAUAGGAGAAGCUUGAAAAGAGCCUGUUGAGUGAAAGAUAUUAACACUACUUGGAAUAAGAGCAUUUGCUAAUAUGUCAUUUCAGAUGUGCCUUGAAUCUUUCAAGAAGUCCUGGCUGAGACUUUUUUACAUCGGGAGUUGGGAGAGGAAUUGUCUUCAGCCAGUUAGAGUUCAAGAAAAAAAUCAGCUUGGCUGGCUGGCCGACGUGGCCACCAGGAGCAGCCCGUGCUGGCAGAGUGACCUCGGAAGCAAAGCGAGAGUGUCCGGCGAGGGUUGUAAAUGUGUAUCACGGUGUGAAGAUAUUUUGUCCCAGUUAAAAAUAGCGCUUCACACAAGAGCUGAAAACAGGCUUCUUCACUAAACGCUUCCUCAAGCUGGUUCUCAGCCUCCUCCUGAAUCAUUACCCUCGAGCCAGUUCGCUGAGAUCUCAGGGAGAUACACGCCAAGAAACGCCACACUUCCUCCGGGGAAAGUACCAGCGGGUGCCCACCCCACUGCGGUCGAACCAGCCCAAACCAGGUCUACGAAGUCAGGCAGGGCUGUCCAUUCCAGGACCACCUCCUGGUCUUCCUCAGGCGAAGAGGAAGGACCGCCCCUUCUGACCUGGUUGAAGGAACCUGCAGUCACUCCCGGGUCUCUAUUUUACCACAGCCUGUUAGCAGCCCAGAAUAGCUCCCGAGCCUUCCAUUCCGUGCUCCGGGCAGAGUCUUGAAAUGUAAGGAAAUGGUUUUCGCGGUGUGCCGAGGAGGCAGAGGGGGAGGCAGGGAUGGAAAAUCCAAGCAUCCCUCCCGAGUCACGGCGAAGAGGCAACCCAUGUUUUCAAGUCAGUCUGGAUCUCAAACAUUGAGUGCCACUUGCGCGAUGGGUUCCUGCCAUUCUUCCCUCUGGGAAUUAGAAGAAGUCGUGACAGCCUGUGGAACCAUCCAGCUGAGUAAGGGGACAGGUCCCUGAGCUGGCGGGAACUGUUACUGAGGCCUCGCCCACACUGAAGAUCAUAAUGCCAUGAAGAAAGUUCUGGCAACUCUGGAAACCUAAGGGAAAGCAUGCCUGUCUCCCCCACCCCUGCCAGUAUUCAGUCACAUAUGUGCUCUUCGUCUUCUGUAUAACUUCCAUCUUGGCACGUUUGAGAGAGAAGUUUGCUGUGUUUGUCUGCCCAAUGGGCUGCCUUCGUUAUAGAUUGUAAAUAACUUCUCUCCAGAA